rnacentral:lncRNA from 1 species
GUGCAAUUUCAUGUGAAAAUUCUUUUAAAAACCUUGGAUUAAUUUCAUCUGGUCCUGCUGCUUUAUUCGGAUUUAAGUUAUGUAAAAGAUUUUGUAUACCAUCUGUUUUUGCCAUCUUAUUUAAUUUAAGUAAUUCCACUAUAAUCAGCUUUUUAUGUUUAAUGUCCAAAAUUUGUUCAUAGUGCCAAAAUUUGUUUCAUUUUGUGGUGGUAAUAUUAUGCUUUCAAUGUAUUCCCAGUAUGAUUUUCGUAUACUUUUCUGCACCUGGUGUUUAACCUCUUUGUAAUUUUUAGCAAGUGAUGCAUUCACGGAUCAGUUUUUUGUAUUUUUUAUAAAGUCUAUCUCUUUUUCUAAUGAGCGUUUUGUUUCCAUUGUGAUCCAUGGGUGACCGUCCUUUGUUUUUGCUGUUUUAUGUGAGAUGUGAUCUUUCACUGCUUUUGUUAUUGUUGUUUUAAAACAGUUCCACAUUUCAUUUACACAAAGAUGUACACAGCUACAUGCAUAUUCUAAAAACUCCAAACAAUCUUGGCAGAAGUGCAGGAUACAUAAGGUGUUCU